GCACCUUGCAGGCCAUCCUCUUCAGCCCCAUGUUUCCUCUACCCGUCCACUGGACGAUAUUCGCCGGGAGUCUGGCCUACAAUUACUACCACGGCAUCGUUGACCAUUCGGGCGUCACUUUCGAGGCCCAGUGGUGGCAGCCUUGGCAGCCAGGUGCCAUGUUCCAUGACAAUCAUCAUCAGUAUACCUUUGUGAACUUCGGCGUCAACUGUAAAUAUUGGGAUAUGAUUCACCGGACUGACAGAAGGAAGACUCGAAGGCCAUGAAAGCGGUUUCGACUGAAUGACGUCUACGUUUAUCAUUUGUAAAAGCGUUUUGAUGGCGAUGAUAAACACCAUUGCCUGCAAGUGCUUCGCGUGGCUAACCCUCUACCGUCAACCAAGCGGUAUUCAAUGUUUUUGGAAAGUAAGCCAGAGGAAAAGUUUAAGAAAAAGAACACCGCGAUCUUCGUAAGGAAUCACUCACGUCGUACAUGAGGAGGCACGUUAAGCAAGUCUCGAGGUCCUUAACCUAAAUCCGCUCUGUGAAACUCAAAGCGUAGAUGGAUCAGUAAAUAAACGAUGUACAGAAAUAAACUAAAAGAUAGAGAGAUUAUAAUUAGAAACAGUUUUACAGGGAGCAGAGACAUCCUUUGUAUAUUGGUGUUGUCAUUUAAUGGAAUGGAGAUUGCACUUACAGAUGGUUUCCCAUUUUGUUCCAUUUGUUUAUAAUUCAUUCAUCAUCAACUGACAUUUUUUUUGUAGUGUUAUUUACUAUUUAGAUAUGUGACUCAAUGAAAAUUACAAUUUCU